UUGACAGAAGAUAGAGGGCAC
rnacentral:miRNA from 5 species